GAUGUUUUAGAGCCAUCUCGAGGCUUCUCGAGGCUUGUAGAUUUAACAAUGGUAUAACCAAGAUCUAGCUUUGUGAUAACUGUACUGUAUACAUUACAGUACAAUUCUGAUAACAGCACCACCAAGGAGGCUGAUUGGCUGAUUAAAGUACCAUCAAGGAGGCUGAUUGGCUGAUUAAAGUACCACCAAGGAGGCUGAUUGGCUGAUUACAGUACCACCAAGGAGGCUGAUUGGCUGAUUACAGUACCACCAAGGAGGCUGAUUGGCUGAUUACAGUACCACCAAGGAGGCUGAUUGGCUGAUUACAGUACCACCAAGGAGGCUGAUUGGCUGAUUACAGUACCACCAAGGCGGCUGAUUGGCUAUCUGUGCUGAGCUCACACCUUGUAAAUCUGCCCACCUGACCUGACUCUACAUAAUGGGAAGUUUAGAUUUCUUCUGCUUUCUUUUUGGUUUCAAUUUUAAUAAAAAAAUAAAAAAGGUAAAUAAUA